rnacentral:rRNA from 1 species
GUGGAUGCCUUGGCAGUUAGAGGCGAUGAAGGACGUAGGAGCCUGCGAUAAGGCGAGGGGAGCCGGCAAACAUGCUUUGAUCCUCGCAUUUCUGAAUGGGGAAACCCACCCAAUUUAUUGGGUAUCGUAUACUGAAUACAUAGGUAUACGAGGCGAACCCGGGGAACUGAAACAUCUAAGUACCCGGAGGAAAAGAAAUCAACCGAGAUUCCCCUAGUAGCGGCGAGCGAAAGGGGAUUAGCCGAGCGAUCGGCGCUAGUGGAAGCCUCUGGAAAGUGGCGCGAUAGAGGGUGAUAGCCCCGUACACGAAAGCAAAGAUCGACGUAUUAAGUAGGACGGGACACGUGUUAUCUUGUCUGAAGAUGGGGGGACCAUCCUCCAAGGCUAAAUACUCCUAACUGACCGAUAGUGAACCAGUACCGUGAGGGAAAGGCGAAAAGAACCCCUGUGAGGGGAGUGAAAUAGAUCCUGAAACCGUGUGCAUACAAGCAGUAGGAGCAGACUUGUUCUGUGACUGCGUACCUUUUGUAUAAUGGGUCAGCGACUUAUUGUCUGUAGCAAGGUUAACCGAUUAGGGGAGCCGUAGGGAAACCGAGUCUUAAUAGGGCGCGAGUUGCAGGCAUUAGACCCGAAACCCGGCGAUCUAUCCAUGGCCAGGUUGAAGAUUGAGUAACAUCAAUUGGAGGACCGAACCCACUUAUGUUGAAAAAUGAGGGGAUGAGCUGUGGAUCGGAGUGAAAGGCUAAUCAAGCCGGGAGAUAGCUGGUUCUCCCCGAAAACUAUUUAGGUAGUGCGUCGUAUCUUACCCUCGGGGGUAGAGCACUGUUUGGGCUAGGGGGUCAUCCCGACUUACCAACCCCAUGCAAACUCCGAAUACCGAGGAGUACAAUUACGGCAGACAGACAGCGGGUGCUAACGUCCGUUGUCAAGAGGGAAACAACCCAGACCGCCAGCUAAGGUCCCAAAUGCUAGUUAAGUGGGAAACGAUGUGGGAAGGCUCAGACAGCUAGGAGAUUGGCUUAGAAGCAGCCAUUCUUUAAAGAAAGCGUAAUAGCUCACUAGUCGAGUCGGCCUGCGCGGAAGAUUUAACGGGGCUAAAUUAGCAACCGAAGCUGCGGAUGCUUUCGAGCAUGGUAGGGGAGCGUUCUGUAAGCCGUUGAAGGUGAAUUGAGAAGUUUGCUGGAGGUAUCAGAAGUGCGAAUGCUGACAUGAGUAACGAUAAAGGGGGUGAAAAACCCCCUCGCCAGAAGUCCAAGGUUUCCUACGCAACGUUAAUCGGCGUAGGGUUAGUCGGCCCCUAAGGCGAGGCAGAAAUGCGUAGUCGAUGGGAAACGGGUUAAUAUUCCCGUACUUCAUAUAACUGCGAUGGGAAGACGGAGUAGGUUAGCUCAGCAAGGCGAUGGUUGUCCUUGUUCAAGCGUGUAGAAAUGGUUCUUAGGAAAAUCCGGGAACCUCUAUUUCAAGGCGUGAUAACGAGCCCUCUUUUGGGCGAAGUGAGUGAGACCAUGCUUCCAGGAAAAUCCUCUAAGCUUCAGGUUAUAUGAAACCGUACCCCAAACCGACACAGGUGGACGAGAUGAGAAUUCUAAGGCGCUUGAGAGAACUCGGGUGAAGGAACUAGGCAAAAUGACACCGUAACUUCGGGAGAAGGUGUGCUCUUGUUAUGUGAUAUCACUUGCUGAUUGAGCAAAGAAGAGCUGAAAAAACUAGGUGGCUGCGACUGUUUAUUAAAAACACAGCACUCUGCAAACACGUAAGUGGACGUAUAGGGUGUGACUCCUGCCCGGUGCUUGAAGGUUAAUUGAUGAGGUUAGCGCUUGCGCGAAGCUUUUGAUCGAAGCCCAAGUAAACGGCGGCCGUAACUAUAACGGUCCUAAGGUAGCGAAAUUCCUUGUCGGGUAAGUUCCGACCUGCACGAAUGGAGUAACGACGGCCACACUGUCUCCACCCGAGACUCAGUGAAAUUGAAAUUGCUGUUAAGAUGCAGUAUACCCGCGGCCAGACGGAAAGACCCCGUGCACCUUUACUACAGCUUUGCAUUGAACUCUGAUCCUACUUGUGUAGGAUAGGUGGGAGGCUUUGAAGCUUUAACGCUAGUUAGAGUGGAGCCACCCUUGAAAUACCACCCUGGUAUGGUUGGGGUUCUAACCUUGGUCCGUAAUCCGGAUCGGGGACAAUGCAUGGUGGGUAGUUUGACUGGGGCGGUCUCCUCCUAAAGAGUAACGGAGGAGCGCAAAGGUAUCCUCAGCACGGUCGGACAUCGUGCAAUGAGCGCAAAGGUAAAAGGAUGCUUGACUGCGAGACUGACACGUCGAGCAGGUAGGAAACUAGGUCUUAGUGAUCCGGUGGUUCUGAGUGGAAGGGCCAUCGCUCAACGGAUAAAAGGUACGCCGGGGAUAACAGGCUGAUACCCCCCAAGAGUUCACAUCGACGGGGGUGUUUGGCACCUCGAUGUCGGCUCAUCACAUCCUGGGGCUGAAGCAGGUCCCAAGGGUAUGGCUGUUCGCCAUUUAAAGUGGUACGCGAGCUGGGUUUAGAACGUCGUGAGACAGUUCGGUCCCUAUCUACCGUGGGCGUUGGAGACUUGAGGGAAGCUGUUCUUAGUACGAGAGGACCGGAAUGGACACACCUCUGGUGUUUCGGUUGUCACGCCAGUGGCAUUGCCGAGUAGCUAUGUGUGGAAAGGAUAACCGCUGAAAGCAUCUAAGCGGGAAGCCCCUCCCAAGAUUAGGUCUCCCUGAUUAUUUAAUAAUCCUAAAGAUCCCUCGAAGACUACGAGGUUGAUAGGCUAGGUGUGAAAGUGCAGCAAUGUAUUGAGCUAACUAGUACUAAUUGAUCGUGAGGCUUGACC